CUUGGUCAUUUAGAGGAAGUAAAAGUCGUAACAAGGUUUCCGUAGGUGAACCUGCGGAAGGAUCAUUAUUGAAUUAUUAGGCGAGGGUUGUCGCUGGCCUCUCGGGGCAUGUACACGCCCGAGCCAUCCCCAACAAACACCGUGGGCCUUCGGGCCCGCGUAUAUUUACUCUGAAUGUCUAUAGAAUGUAAACCAUUUCGUUCGUCCUGAAAAAGCGAACGAAAAAAAAGUACAACUUUCAACAACGGAUCUCUUGGCUCUCGCAUCGAUGAAGAACGCAGCGAAAUGCGAUAAGUAAUGUGAAUUGCAGAUUUUCAGUGAAUCAUCGAAUCUUUGAACGCACCUUGCGCCCCUUGGUAUUCCGAGGGGCAUGCCUGUUUGAGUGUCAUUAAAUCCUCAACCGCGCCGAUCGAUUUCGGUGGGGCUUGGACUUUGGAGCGUGCUGGCGAAGGUCGGCUCCUCUUUAAAUGCAUCAGCGGAAGAAACCUUUGUCUUUCCCGCCUUCGGUGUGAUAAUUGCGUUGCGCUGUGGUGGAACUUCAACGAUCCGCUUACAAUGGUCUUCGGACGAAACCUCAUGUCAUCUUGACCUCAAAUCAGGUAGGACUACCCGCUGAACUUAAGCAUAUCAAUAAGCGGAGGAAAAGAAACUAACAAGGAUUCCCCUAGUAACUGCGAGUGAAGCGGGACAAGCUCAAAUUUAAAAUCUGUCAGCCUUUGGCUGUCCGAGUUGUAAUCUAGAGAAGUGUAAUCCGCGCUGGACCGUGUGCAAGUCUCCUGGAAUGGAGCGUCAUAGAGGGUGAGAAUCCCGUCUUUGACACGGACUGCCAGGGCUUUGUGAUGCGCUCUCAAAGAGUCGAGUUGUUUGGGAAUGCAGCUCAAAAUGGGUGGUAAAUUCCAUCUAAAGCUAAAUAUUGGCGAGAGACCGAUAGCGAACAAGUACCGUGAGGGAAAGAUGAAAAGAACUUUGGAAAGAGAGUUAAACAGUACGUGAAAUUGCUGAAAGGGAAACGCUUGAAGUCAGUCGCGUUAUCCAGGGAUCAACCUUGCUUUUGCUUGGUGUACUUUCUGGUUAAUGGGUCAGCAUCAAUUUUGACUAUUGGAAAAAGAUCAGGGGAAUGUGGCAUCUUCGGAUGUGUUAUAGCCUUUGGCUGCAUACAAUGGUUGGGAUUGAGGAACUCAGCACGCCGCAAGGCCGGGGUUAAAAAGUUUUUUUUAACCACGUACGUGCUCAGGAUGCUGGCAUAAUGGCUUUAAUCGACCCGUCUUGAAACACGGACC
rnacentral:rRNA from 1 species